GAUGAACGCUGGCGGCGUGCCUAAUACAUGCAAGUCGAGCGAACAGAUGAGGAGCUUGCUCCUCUGACGUUAGCGGCGGACGGGUGAGUAACACGUGGAUAACCUACCUAUAAGACUGGGAUAACUUCGGGAAACCGGAGCUAAUACCGGAUAAUAUAUUGAACCGCAUGGUUCAAUAGUGAAAGACGGUUUUGCUGUCACUUAUAGAUGGAUCCGCGCCGCAUUAGCUAGUUGGUAAGGUAACGGCUUACCAAGGCAACGAUGCGUAGCCGACCUGAGAGGGGGAUCGGCACAACUGGACCUGGGACACGUUCCAAACCCCUAGGGGAGGCGGCAGUGGGAAAUCUUCCGAAUGGGGGGAAGGCUGAAGGAGGAAACGCCGGUGGGGGGAUAAGGUUCUUCGAAUGUAAAACCUUUUUAAUAGGGAAAAAACAAAGGGGAAGGUAACAAGGCAGGUUUGAAGGGUACCUAACCAAAAAGCCACGGUAAACUACUG
rnacentral:rRNA from 1 species